rnacentral:rRNA from 1 species
AACGAACGCUGGCGGCGCGCCUAAUACAUGCAAGCCGAGCGAGAAGACGUAGCAAUACGUUUGUAAAGCGGCGAACGGGUGAGGAAUACAUGGGUAACCUACCCUCGAGUGGGGAAUAACUAGCCGAAAGGUUAGCUAAUACCGCGUACGCUCCUUGGACUUCGGUUCAGGGAGGAAAGCGAUACCGCGGGUAUCGCGCUCUUGGAUGGGCUCAUGUCCUAUCAGCUUGUUGGUGAGGUAACGGCUCACCAAGGCUUCGACGGGUAGCUGGUCUGAGAGGACGAUCAGCCACACUGGCACUGCGACACGGGCCAGACUCCUACGGGA